rnacentral:rRNA from 1 species
CUGGCUCAGGAUGAACGCUAGCUACAGGCUUAACACAUGCAAGUCGAGGGGCAGCAUGAGAUUAGCUUGCUAAUCUUGAUGGCGACCGGCGCACGGGUGAGUAACGCGUAUCCAACUUCCCCCUACUCAGGCAUAGCCCGGUGAAAACCGGAUUAACUCCUGAUAGUUUCACUAGAUGGCAUCUGACGGUGAAUAAAGCUUUGCGGUAAGGGAUGGGGAUGCGUCUGAUUAGCUUGUUGGCGGGGUAACGGCCCACCAAGGCGACGAUCAGUAGGGGUUCUGAGAGGAAGGUCCCCCACAUUGGAACUGAGACACGGUCCAAACUCCUACGGGAGGCAGCAGUGAGGAAUAUUGGUCAAUGGGCGCGAGCCUGAACCAGCCAAGUAGCGUGCAGGAUGACGGCCCUAUGGGUUGUAAACUGCUUUUGUAUGGGAAUAAAGUCAGGGACGUGUCCCUGUUUGCAUGUACCAUAAGAAUAAGGACCGGCUAAUUCCGUGCCAGCCGCGGC